UUUCAGUCAGCAUGACUGGAACUUUGAUCAACAAAUCCCCAAGAGCCACAACCCGUCUUUUGUGAACAAGUAGUAUCAAGGUGGGGGUGGGCUUGGAGUGCACUGGAUGCUUUUCUUCUUUCAUCAUGAAACCUGGUGGUUUUGUGUCAUGUGAUAUGUUUUUCAGAGAUUCGGCAGGAAGCUUGCACCGAGUGAAGGAUUUAUAAAGAUUAUAGGAGAUAACACAAAGCUAUUUUAUCUCUUUAAAAAAAAUCAAAGGUGUAAGCUCAUCCUACACAUGUCAUUUGGACCAGACCAAGGCUGCUGUCAUGGAGGACCCACACCACAGCUUGGGAACCAUUCAUCUACCAGAGGGUCACAUGACUUCAAAUGACUCUUCUAGGGGCCACCUGCCAUGAUAGGGUACCAGCUCUUCCUCUGAAUUCCCAAUCCAUUUCUUGAGAACUACUGUUUCUAAUAAGGAUUUGCUCAAAAUGGAUUUGCAAAGAGAAAAAAAAUUUAAUGUCACACUGCCAUGAUAAGUCAACCAACCAUCUCAUAUAUCAAAGGAGAGAGGCAGAGAAAGAAAAGGAGGAGGAUAAAGAAGAGGAGGAAGAGGACGAAAGGAAAACCAAGAGGAGGAGAAGCCACUUCUUACUUUGGAUUAAUGUGAAACUAAAUAGUUUACUACAUUUUAAGUGGGAAAAUGUUAGUUGAAAAGAUAUUUGUCAACCACAAACAUUUGAAAGGGAAGCAUUCCAAAGAUUUUCACUGUUUAUGUUCAAAUUACAACAUGUGCAGAAAGUUGUGCAACUGAAAAUCCUUUCAAACAACAGCUACAAAAGAGAUUGGUCAGUUAGGACAGGAAUAGAAAGUGGAAACUUAGAAGACUGGCUACUCCUUGUGUAUGAUUGCUGGGGUGAGUCUGUGCUGAGAACUUUUUACAAAGGGUGUCCUUUGCUGAUAUGAGAGGGGGGUGUCAAACUUUUGAGUGAUCACUGUGGGUCCUCAGCUUAGACAUCUUCUCUGGCCCAAGAUGGCACCCCUUGCUCUCUUUCCAUGGGACACAGGGACCUUGCCAUCCUUCCAUCUUAUAAGCCUUCUGUCAUGAUUUUUACUUCAUCCUAGAUAGCCUUAAUUUGGGCCAGGUCUCCAGGUUCCUCCACUUUCUUCUGUCCCAUCCAUACCCCUCACCAAUCCUCUGUAAAUUCCUUUCCAGGAUUUUACUGAGAACUACAGAGAAACAGGCUGGGAAUAACAAACAUGGGGAGUUAUGUAGUUAACAUACACUUUGACAUCACCUAGUCAUUUUCCUGAGUAUAUAGAUAACUCUGUUAUUACUGGUUAUAAGGUCCAUGAGAAGCCUUUAUCCUUUUCUGGAAACCAAGAAAGCACCUGCCCUCCCUCAGUCCUAAGGGGAGAAUCUUUAUGGGUGUAACAAUAAAAUGGAUAAUGGGAAAUUCUGAUGUCCUCAAGCAUACAUUCAGAUGUCCCCAAUGAGCAUCAUUUGUAUAUCAAGGGAACUCCAGAGAGAUGAUCCACAAUUCAGUGUGUCCCUUUGGCCAGUAGAGAGGUCACCUUAGUCUGGA
rnacentral:lncRNA from 1 species